rnacentral:rRNA from 1 species
CCCUUAGAUGUUCUGGGCGGCCCGCGCACUACAAUGGCGUGUGCAGCGAGUGCCGAAGUAGAGUUUUCCGAGGUAUUCUUGCAAUGCUCGUUUUGAUGGGGAUAGACCCUUGCAACUGUUGGUUUUGAACGAGGAAUUCCUUGUAAGCAUGGUUUAUCAUCCGACGCUGAAUGCGUCCCUGCCCUUUGUACACACCGCCCGUUGCUCCUACCGAUGAGUCGUCCGGUGAAGUUCGUAGACCUCGUGAUCGCGGAUCACUGGGGGAAGCAAAAUGAACCUCGCGGUUUAGAGGAAGGAGAAGUCGUAACA